GCAGAUCAAGUGCACAGCCAUUCCAGCUGGAAAUACCCAAGUUUUUGAAAUCUGAGGAACCAGCAUCCACACUGAAUGCUGAAGUGGAAAGCUUUGUACUUACACAGCAUUAACAAGAAUGAGAAAACCUCAAGGAAAAGCUGUAUAAUCGCAAUAAACAUUGAAUGAACACAGCAUGCCAAAGGUUUGGCAGUUUUGGUUGGACAGCACCGGGUCCGCAGCAGUUUUAGACAGGCCCCCAGUCCUCAGCAGUUUCGACAGACCCCUGGUUCUUGACAGUUUCAAGAGGACCCAACCCUGACCCACCCUGGACCUCAGCAGUUGGACAGGCCCCUGUCUUUGGCAAUGACCCGGUUUGUGAAACCAAGAGGCCGUGCACCCUCCUGUAUAGGAUCAAUGCGUAGCCAACUUUUGUGAGCCAAGAAAAAUGGUCGAACAGUUUGUUCCACCUCUGCUUCAGACACAUAAUGGGCAUCCACUGGCAAUGCAGAGCACCGAGCAUGGGAAUACACUCACGUGCAGGAAUCCACAAUAUGUUUGCACUAUUGAGUCAAUGCUGAAUACAUUGGCUAGGUCUUCUGAGGCAAAUAGAUGAUUGCCACAGCCCCAGUGCCAUUUUCUAUGGUGAGCUUGCUGUUAGCACAACACCAUCUGCAUCUGUGCAAUAAGGAUCUCUGCAAGUGAAGCUUCAAACUGACCACAACUCAAGUUGUCUGAAAACAUGGGAAGUCCUUGCUGCUGACCGAAGUGCCUGGAGCCAAGCUGUCAGGAAGGACAUAGAAAAGCAGAAGAUUAACAACCAGAUGGUAGAAAAGAGAACCUGCCAGAAGGAAAAAAACAUUGGUCAACCAAAGCUAAUGUACCACCUGUGGAAGGGACAUGCUGCUCACAAAUUCGGCUGAAAGGCUACAGUAGAUGUUGUUCUGUCCAGAAAUGACAUACAAUUCAGAUACAGUCAGUCAUCUCCCAAGCCAUCAGUGCUCAGUUUUGGAUGCCACACUCUAGAAUGUACCUCUGAAUAUGUUAGCAAGCAAAGGUUUAGUGCAUUUGGAAGUUAUUGUUAUGUUUUGUUUUACAUUGAAUAAAAAGUAUACAGCUGAAAAAUAAGUCAUUUGGACAUGGUUUCAUUUCUGAUAACUGUGAAUGUCUGUGGAUUGUCUGGAUAUUUAUUAACAAGCAUUUUAAUGAGGCUUUUAAAAACCUUUGAGGUGUAUCAUUCAGUGUUUUGUAAAAUGAAGAGUAGAAGAGAAAAAAAUUGGGUUGUUGUCUUAUGUGCUGUGUGAUGUGCCAUAUGACACAUGAGAAAGACCUGAAAAAGCAACUUUGCUGUUUAGCAGUCUCCCAAACAGUCAGGGCUGGACAAAAGAUGUUCUGAGUGGAUUGAUGCCUGUAUGAGAAAGCCCACAAAAGAAAAGACUUUCGAAGAAGAAUUUAAGGAAUCCAUGUUAAGAAUUAAGUGAGCCUUGUUAACAUUUGUUUAAAGAUCUCAUGAUGAUACAUUAACUAAAGAAGAUAUUGUCAAUGCAGGAGUUUACCAUUAAGA